rnacentral:rRNA from 1 species
UGGGGAAUAUUGCACAAUGGGCGGAAGCCUGAUGCAGCGACGCCGCGUGGGGGAUGACAGCCUUCGGGUUGUAAACCUCUUUCAGUGCAGAACAAGGCUCUUUGUGGGUUGAGGGUAUGCGCAGAAGAAGCGCCGGCUAACUACGUGCCAGCAGCCGCGGUAAUACGUAGGGCGCGAGCGUUGUCCGGAUUUAUUGGGCGUAAAGAGCUCGUAGGCGGUUUGUCGCGUCUGCUGUGAAAUCCUCUGGCUUAACUGGGGGCGUGCAGUGGGUACGGGCAGACUGGAGUGCGGUAGGGGAGACUGGAAUUCCUGGUGUAGCGGUGGAAUGCGCAGAUAUCCGGAGGAACACCAGUGGCGAAAGCGGCCUCCUGGGCCAUUUCUGACGCUAAGACGCGAAAGCUAGGGUAGCAAACGG